rnacentral:rRNA from 1 species
GACGAACGCUGGCGGCGUGCUUAACACAUGCAAGUCGAACGGAGUUAAGGAGCUUGCUUCUUAACUUAGUGGCGAACGGGUGAGUAACGCGUGAGGAACCUGCCUUUCAGUGGGGGACAACAGUUGGAAACGACUGCUAAUACCGCAUGAUACUAUUGAGUGGCAUCACUUGAUAGUCAAAGAUUUAUUGCUGAAAGAUGGCCUCGCGUCUGAUUAGCUAGUUGGUGGGGUAACGGCCCACCAAGGCGACGAUCAGUAGCCGGACUGAGAGGUUGACCGGCCACAUUGGGACUGAGAUACGGCCCAGACUCCUACGGGAGGCAGCAGUGGGGAAUAUUGGGCAAUGGGCGAAAGCCUGACCCAGCAACGCCGCGUGAAGGAAGAAGGCCUUCGGGUUGUAAACUUCUUUUACCAGGGACGAACACAAUGACGGUACCUGGAGAAAAAGCAACGGCUAACUACGUG